UACGAGGGGGGCAAAUGUUGUUCGGAAUCACUGGGCGUAAAGGGAGCGUAGGCGGGUUUUUAAGUCAGGUGUUUAAUCCCGGGGCCCAACCCCGGACAGGCACUUGAAACUGGGAAUCUUGAAUAGUGGAGAGGUCGGUGGAAUUGGAGGUGUAGCGGUGGAAUGCGUAGAGAUCUCCAAGAACACCCGUUGCGAAGGCGGCCGACUGGACACAUAUUGACGCUGAGGCUCGAAAGCAUGGGGAGCAAACAGG
rnacentral:rRNA from 1 species